AUUGAACGCUGGCGGCAUGCCUUACACAUGCAAGUCGAACGGUAACAGGUCUUCGGAUGCUGACGAGUGGCGGACGGGUGAGUAAUACAUCGGAACGUGCCUAGUAGUGGGGGAUAACUACGCGAAAGAGUGGAUAAUCCCGCAUGAGAUUUACGGAUGAAAGCCGGGGAUCGCUAGACCUUGUGCCCCUAGAGGUGCUGAUGGCAGAUUAGGUAGUUGGUGGGAUAAAAGCUUACCAAGCCGACGAUCUGUAGCUGGUCUGAGAGGACGAUCAGCCACACUGGGACUGAGACACGGCCCAGACUCCUACGGGAGGCAGCAGUGGGGAAUUUUGGACAAUGGGCGCAAGCCUGAUCCAGCAAUGCCGCGUGCAGGAUGAAGGCCUUCGGGUUGUAAACUGCUUUUGUACGGAACGAAAAGCCCUGGGUUAAUAACCUGGGGUCAUGACGGUACCGUAAGAAUAAGCACCGGCUAACUACGUGCCAGCCGCCGCGGUAAAAC
rnacentral:rRNA from 1 species